rnacentral:rRNA from 1 species
GACGAACGCUGGCGGCGUGCCUAAUACAUGCAAGUCGAGCGAAGUUUUUCUGGUGCUUGCACUAGAAAAACUUAGCGGCGAACGGGUGAGUAACACGUAAAGAACCUGCCUCAUAGACUGGGACAACUAUUGGAAACGAUAGCUAAUACCGGAUAACAGUAUUUCUCGCAUGAGAGAUAUUUAAAAGUUGGUUAUGCUAACACUAUGAGAUGGCUUUGCGGUGCAUUAGCUAGUUGGUGGGGUAAAGGCCCACCAAGGCGACGAUGCAUAGCCGACCUGAGAGGGGGAUCGGCCACACUGGGACUGGGACACGGCCCAGACUCCUACGGGAGGCAGCAGUAGGGAAUCUUCCGCAAUGGGCGAAAGCCUGACGGAGCAACGCCGCGUGAGUGAAGAAGGAUUUCGGUUCGUAAAGCUCUGUUGUUAGGGAAGAAUGGAUAUGUAGUAACUAUACAUGUAAGAGACGGUACCUAACCAGAAAGCCACGGCUAACUACGUG